GCGCCUGUAGCUCAGUCGGAUAGAGCGAGCGGCUUCGAACCGCUAGGUCGCAGGUUCGAUCCCUGUCAGGCGCA
rnacentral:tRNA from 2 species